GGUCAAGAGUGCCAGCGCAAAACCCCGGUUUGCUGGCCGGCAACCCUCCUUCGCGGUGGGGUGCCCCGGGUGACGACCAGGUCGCAGCGCAGAACCGCGCUGAGGCAAGCGCGAGU
rnacentral:ncRNA from 1 species